rnacentral:rRNA from 1 species
AGUCGAGAAUCUUCGGCAAUGGGCGAAAGCCUGACCGAGCGAUGCCGCGUGCGGGAUGAAGGCCUUCGGGUUGUAAACCGCUGUCAGUUGGGAGGAAGGACUCGUGAAGAGCGAGUUUUGACCUAUCUUCAGAGGAAGGACGGGCUAAGUUCGUGCCAGCAGCCGCGGUAACACGAACCGUCCAAACGUUAUUCGGAAUUAUUGGGCUUAAAGGGUGCGUAGGCGGCGCAGUAAGUGAGGUGUGAAAGCCCUCGGCUCAACCGAGGAAUUGCGCUUCAUACUGCUGUGCUUGAGGGAGACAGAGGUAAGCGGAACUGAUGGUGGAGCGGUGAAAUGCGUUGAUAUCAUCAGGAACACCGGUGGCGAAAGCGGCUUACUGGGUCUCUUCUGACGCUGAGGCACGAAAGCUAGGGUAGCGAA